GGGUUGUGAGGUUAAGCGACUAAGCGUACACGGUGGAUGCCCUGGCAGUCAGAGGCGAUGAAGGGCGUGCUAAUCUGCGAUAAGCGCCGGUAAGGUGAUAUGAACCGUUAUAACCGGCGAUACCCGAAUGGGGAAACCCAGUGUGAUUCGUCACACUAUCAUUAACUGAAUCCAUAGGUUAAUGAGGCGAACCGGGGGAACUGAAACAUCUAAGUACCCCGAGGAAAAGAAAUCAACCGAGAUUCCCCCAGUAGCGGCGAGCGAACGGGGAGGAGCCCAGAGCCUGAAUCAGCAUGUGUGUUAGUGGAAGCGUCUGGAAAGGCGCGCGAUACAGGGUGACAGCCCCGUACACAAAAGCGCAUGUGCUGUGAGCUCGAUGAGUAGGGCGGGACACGUGGUAUCCUGUCUGAAUAUGGGGGGACCAUCCUCCAAGGCUAAAUACUCCUGACUGACCGAUAGUGAACCAGUACC
rnacentral:rRNA from 2 species